rnacentral:rRNA from 1 species
UACGUAGGGUGCAGGCGUUAAUCGGAAUUACUGGGCGUAAAGCGUGCGCAGGCGGUUUGCUAAGAGAGAUGUGAAAUCCCCGGGCUUAACCUGGGAACUGCGUUUCUAACUGGCAAGCUAGAGUGUGGCAGAGGGGGGUGGAAUUCCACGUGUAGCAGUGAAAUGCGUAGAGAUGUGGAGGAACACCGAUGGCGAAGGCAGCCCCCUGGGCUAACACUGACGCUCAUGCACGAAAGCGUGGGGAGCAAACAGG